UGGUUAAGAUAAGUGUUUGCAGUCAUGCAGCCUGUUCUCUUCAGAUGGAGUUCAUUAGAAACCAGACAGGAGUCAUGGUGAUGUUUGACAGCACACAUGAACACACAGGUGAAGAGUCCAACUCCUCCCAGCAGGACUUCACUCUUGAUGUCCGUGGUGCAACAUGGUGAUACUGUAGCAGCUGAAAGAUCCCACAUAAGAUGAUGUUUUACUGUCUGACACCUGUUGGUUCCUCUUUGUAUCUUUGCAGUUUGUUUCUGAGAACUGAAGGAGAAGUGUUGGCUGAGAAUGUGGGUAACACCAGCAGCAGAGCUCUGCCGGUUUUCCCCUCUAAUGAGGACCAGAUAAGCAUCAGAAAUACACAGACUGUCCACACUUUAUGAGGACAGAGAGACA